GGGAGUUUGUGUGGGUCUGGGCCUGGCCAUUGGGUCCCUCUUUCCUGCUUGGCUGGAUUAUCAGCUACCUGAGGCUGCUUGCUCAUUGGUGUCUCCACUGUAAAUUUCUCUGACAGUUCUGUUGGCUGGCCCUCUCCUCUGCAGUCUGUCACCUGCUGUAGACAUGGUGCCUCCUGACCCAGUCCACCUGAAGACCAUCGUCAUCUCCAUCUAACAUGGGAGCCCAGAGACUUCAGAGUAUAACCCAAGCCCCAGACGCUUUCAACCUGAGAUCUCCAGGACCCUGCUGACCUGGACUCCUUGGAUAACUUAGGCCAGGGUCUGAUGCGGAAGGUUGAGACCAGCUGCAUUUAGGAGAGAUGAAGUCUAC
rnacentral:lncRNA from 1 species